UGAUAUUUGCUAAAUAUCCGAUGGAUACCCGCAUGAGUAUCAGCCACACUUACACUUUUUUUGCAAAUAUUUUUAAAUUUUUAAUUAAAAAAAAUAUGUAGACCUAUAAAUAUAUAAAAUGUAUAAAUGUGCGUGUAGUUGCAGCGCGUAAGUCAUAAAGUCCAUCUACUUCUUCAUCCGAUCUCUCAUCUAAAGUAAACUAAAGAGAAUCAAUAUUUCGUCUACCUUCAGUUGUGAUCAUGAGUUGCACACCUACCCUAUUGCCCAACUCCCUUCUCAACCCAAACAACUAGUGCCCAGCUCCCUUCUCUGCUGGCAAUUGCGUCGUGUUGUUACAACUGCUGCAAGGGCCGCUAAUUCUGCAGUCGCCACCGCCAUUGAUUCUACAACUAUUGUUGUUGUUGCUACUUCCACCGUUGAUUCUAUAGCUACUGUUGUCAUUGAUUCUAUAGCCGUUGCUGCCUCUGCCAUUGUUACUUUUGGAUAUUAGUUUUUGGUUUUUCUUUUAAUUAAUUGAAAACACUUUUGAGUUUUGAUGGACUUGUGUAUUUCAUACUUAAAUUUGAGUAAUUGUUGGAUUGAUGUUGAAAUUUUAAUUUUUU
rnacentral:lncRNA from 1 species